ACGGAGGAUCCAAGCGUUAUCCGGAAUCAUUGGGUUUAAAGGGUCCGUAGGCGGGACAAUCAGUCAGCGGUGAAAGUCUGUGGCUCAACCAUAGAAUUGCCAUUGAUACUGUUGUUCUUGAAUACUUAUGAAGUGGUUGGAAUAUGUAGUGUAGCGGUGAAAUGCAUAGAUAUUACAUAGAACACCGAUUGCGAAGGCAGAUCACUAAUAAUUUAUUGACGCUGAUGGACGAAAGCGUAGGUAGCGAACAGG
rnacentral:rRNA from 1 species